GCCGCCGGGGGCUGGACACGAGGGGUCGCAGGGCGGGGUGGCGGCUGCCUGCCGGCACCGUUUGCACCCAAAAAAAAGGAGCCCCGGGCGGCUGAGCUGCGCUCAGUCCCUGCAAGACGCACGGCAAAUGCCGCCCCAAGUGCGGCUUUGCGCUCCUCGCCUCCCAGCGCCUCUCCCCGGCCUUAGGUUUGACCUUUAUCGUCUCCUUUCCUCUCUUGCUAGCCCACCGUAAGCCUUCGGGUAUUUUUUUUCCCUCCCUUCUUCAUCCCACCUCCCGCAAUCUGUGCUGGCUGAACGUCUUAAGGAUGGCUCUGCGCUGGCUCUAAGCCACCUUUGUGUCCUCCCGCUCCUGGACCGUUCCAAGGCUUUUAGCGUGAUUUAAGCGCGGCGAGCACCACAAGUUCAGGUGCUUCACAAGGGGAAAACUGGCCAUGCAUUUCUCCUCUUUGAAAUCUGCAAGGAAUAGAGGCAUAAUCAAUAGAAAAAGAGAAGAUCAGGAAUAUUACAGUGAAAAGAGCUCAUCGUAUGCAGGCUGGCCCAUGUGAGGGUGUGUGUGCUACAGCUGCACAUCUCAGUAUCGACACAGCCCCCAACUCCACACAGAGGACUGAGACUGGGGAGAAUGGAUGAGGACAG